rnacentral:rRNA from 1 species
GAUGAACGCUGGCGGCGUGCCUAACACAUGCAAGUCGAACGGCCGGACGAGAAGCUUUUUCUUUUGCUGUUAGCGGCUGGCGGGCGAGUAACGCGUGCAUCACCCUCUUCUUUUUCUUGGAUCAUUUCGUAAAACCGUAUCUAAUACUACAUCAUAUUUUGUACCGCAUGGUUCAUAGGAUCAUCUCGGCCUUGCUGUCUCUAUUAGCUGCUUCCGCGCUGGAUUAGCUAGUUGGUAAGGUAACGGCUUACCAAGGCUACGAUGCGUAGCCGACCUGAGAGGAUGAUAGGACACACUGGAACGGAGACACGGUCAAGACGACUACGGGAGGCAGCAGUAGGGAAUAUUGCGCAAUGGGCGAAAGCCUGACGGAGCAAAGCCGCGUGAGUGAAGAAGGUCUUCGGAUCGUAAAACCCUGUUAUUAGGGAAGAACAGAUGUGGAAGUAAAAGUGCACGUCUUGACGGUAACUAAUGAAAAAGCAACGGCUAACUACGUG